AUUGAACGCUGGCGGCAUGCCUUACACAUGCAAGUCGAACGGCAGCACGGGAGCUUGCUCCUGUGGCGAGUGGCGAACGGGUGAGUAAUACAUCGGAACGUACCCAGGAGUGGGGGAUAACGUAGCGAAAGUUACGCUAAUACCGCAUAUUCUGUGAGCAGGAAAGCGGGGGAUCGCGAGACCUCGCGCUCUUGGAGCGGCCGAUGUCGGAUUAGCUAGUUGGUGAGGUAAAAGCUCACCAAGGCGACGAUCCGUAGCAGGUCUGAGAGGAUGAUCUGCCACACUGGGACUGAGACACGGCCCAGACUCCUACGGGAGGCAGCAGUGGGGAAUUUUGGACAAUGGGGGCAACCCUGAUCCAGCCAUGCCGCGUGAGUGAAGAAGGCCUUCGGGUUGUAAAGCUCUUUCGGCGGGGAAGAAAUGGCAACGGCUAAUAUCCGUUGUUGGUGACGGUACCCGCAUAAGAAGCACCGGCUAACUACGUGCCAGCCGCCGCAGUAACAC
rnacentral:rRNA from 1 species